rnacentral:rRNA from 1 species
AUGGCUCAGAUUGAACGCUGGCGGCAGGCCUAACACAUGCAAGUCGAACGGAAACAUGUCUAGCUUGCUAGAUGAUGUCGAGUGGCGGACGGGUGAGUAAUGCUUGGGAACUUGCCUUUGCGAGGGGGAUAACAGUUGGAAACGACUGCUAAUACCGCAUAAUGUCUUCGGACCAAACGGGGCUUAGGCUCCGGCGCAAAGAGAGGCCCAAGUGAGAUUAGCUAGUUGGUAGGGUAACGGCUUACCAAGGCAACGAUCUCUAGCUGUUCUGAGAGGAAGAUCAGCCACACUGGGACUGAGACACGGCCCAGACUCCUAC